rnacentral:misc_RNA from 1 species
GACGGAGGAUCCAAGCGUUAUUCGGAAUGACUGGGCGUAAAGAGUUGCGUAGGUGGCUUUGUAAGCGUGUGAUGAAAUUUUGGGGCUCAACCCCAAAACUGUUAUGCGAACUGCAAAGCUAGAGUAUAUGAGGGGUAGCUGGAAUUCCUAGUGUAGGAGUGAAAUCCGUAGAUAUUAGGAGGAACACCAAUGGCGUAGGCAGGCUACUGGCAUAUUACUGACACUAAGGCACGAAAGCGUGGGGAGCGAACGGG